CACCCACGAGUGGAGUGACUGGCUGGUCCAUGGACCAGUCAGCCUCAGACUGGCGGCGAGUCACCACACAGUCACACACCGCUAUCACCAUGGGCAACUUGCCCGUUCCCGAUGGGCUUGUACCGUGGGCCUGCUCACGUUAGUCACGGCGCUUGCCACCCCUGUCCCCGAUGCAAGCGGGGAGCCAACACCAGAACAUCCCCAGGAAAGAGCAAAAAAGAUCGUCGACGGUUUGGGUGGCAUGAGCAUCGGUUCAAUCUUCCCGGGGCCGCACGGAGAGCAACCACAGCUAGAGGUCCUGUCACAGCCACCAAGUCCGUCACCGAUCCCACGGCCACUCGGUGGCCUCGAGACUGAGACCGCCUCCAUCACUCCUGUACAGGCAAUCGGCUACAGUGGCUACAUUGUAGUAGUUGUCGUCUUGUUUAUGUACUGCAAACCACGCCGGAAGAACUGAGGCUGGAAGCGUCGCCUUGUCUCGCACGUAUUGUGUGUAAAAAGGAGCUGUUUUCAAGGAGAGAGUAUACACGUAAAAAUAAAUAAAUAAUUAUAAUAUUAAAGUUAUGAAAUCCUCAGAAAGAGGGCUACAUCAUCUAGUCAA